rnacentral:rRNA from 1 species
AUGGUUUCGCUCAGAAGUAGGAAGACCUUCUAUCCUGGGGCGAUCCGGCUUGGUACAACCAGGGCCUAUCUCUUCGACAGCGAACAUGUUCUUAUAGAUUCUCGUGCGCGCCGGACCGGUGAAGUAUUCAUCCAGGGAACGGUUGUCAUGUUCCCCUGCCAUCUUGCGAACAUCACCACCGGUGACCAAGGAGUUGAUGCGGCAGGUUCUAUGUGCGCACACGACUCAGGCCAUGGAGAAGAUGCUGCUGGUGGAUGCGAUGGCUCGGAAGUGGAAGAAGCUGCCAGUAUGCACGCGGGCCUCGGACGUGCUCGUGGUGCACAUGAUGUCGUGCUUAAACGCAUGCGUGCGGCGCUACUUGCUGGUCCUGUCGUCGGGCGUGGCCAUGGAGGUGACGACAAUGCCGUCGGGGACGCCAGUGACGCUCGACGUGGUCGUCGACGCUUGGGCUUGGCUGGUCGCAGCAGAAUGCGCCCGGCUCUGACGAAGUGGCAAGGCGGCCUUACCGAAGUUGUUCCAUCUUCGCUAAAUGGCAGCAGCAAUGAUGCAACCAGCCCUGCCAACGUUAACCAAGGUGACUGUACAGAAAGUGUUCCAUCUUUAGUAAAUGGCAGCGGCAAUGAUGCAACCGGCCCCGCCGGCAACGUUAACCCAUGCAUCCAUGUGGAGUUGAACAAAGGUGUUGUUCCAGAGAGUGACCCUGGAGUACAAGCUGAAGUAGCUGACACCGGCAGCAACAAUGGCUCAAAUGCUAAUCAAAAAAAGAAGCGAAGAUGGUACCCAGACCAUCAAAAGCAAGAAAUUUAUGCUAUGCUAUUAGAGCGGACAAAUCAAGGCGUACUAAACCAAGGGGUGGUUGACGAGGUGGCAGAGCUUUGUCAAGUUAAUUACCGGACUGUUCAAAACAUAUGGUCGAUAGGCAAGAAAGCCGGUGGUAUUCAUGGAGUAGCAAACAAAAGGGUGAAAACUUGUGGCCGCAAGAAGAUACCGUUUGAUUCAGAUGCCAUAAAAAAGAUUGAAUUGAGCAAAAGAACUACGCUCAAAGAUCUUGCUAAUGAGCUUCAAAUGGCGAAGACAACUUUAUGGAGAAGGUUGAAGGAGGGCAGACUGAAGCGCCAUACAAAUUCAAUUAAAUCCACAUUGACUGAUGACAACAAGGUGGGUCGGAUUCGGUUUUGUUUAUCCAUGUUGGAUGAGCUAAGUGUGCCCGAAGAACCCAGAUUUAAAGGCAUGUACAAUGUCAUUCACAUUGAUGAGAAGUGGUUCUACCGCACUAAAGGUACCCAGAACUACUACUUGGCACCUGAUGAAGAAGAACCCUAUCGCAGCACACAGAGCAAGGGAUUUAUCGAGAAAGUGAUGUUCUUGGCAGCAGUAGCAAGGCCUCGUUAUGAUGAUCAUGGUGUCAUGACUUUUGAUGGCAAGAUUGGAAUUUGGCCAUUCACAUAUCAGGACUUUGCAAAGAGGCGUAGCCCUUACCGAGAGAGGGGGGAAGAGGUAACCAAGGUUUUGCCGUUGGUGACGAAGGAUGUCAGUAGAGAUUAUAUGGUGAACAAGCUGCUACCUGCCAUCAAGGCUUUGUGGCCGGCUUCGGAACGCGGACGCAUAAUAUACAUUCAGCAAGAUAAUGCAAAGACCCAUAUUGCUGUGAAUGACAGUGUGUUUUGUGCAGCGGCACAGGCGGAUGGAUGGGAUAUUAGGCUUACAUGUCAGCCGCCGAACUCACCUGAUUUGAACAUUCUUGACUUAGGAUUCUUUGCUGCACUUCAGGCUCUUUUUGAGAAGAUGUCCCCUGGUAAAAUUGCUGAUAUUGUUGCAAAGGUGAAAAAAGCAUAUGACACCUACCCGGCUGAGAGAAGCAACCGUAUUUUUCUUACCCUUCAGUCAUGCAUGUGCGAGGUACUGAAGCAGAAAGGAGGUAACCGGUACAAGGUUCCGCACAUGAGGAAGUCAUUUCUGGCGGCACUCGAAAUGCUUCCGGACGUAGUACCCUGCGAUGCUGAUGUUGUAAUUGCUGCUAUUGAAGCCCUUCCAGAUGCUUGA